rnacentral:rRNA from 1 species
GUCUGGUUAAUUCCGAUAACGAACGAGACUCUGGCUUGCUAAAUAGUCGCGCCGGCCGCCGCGCCGGGCGCUGACUUCUUAGAGGGACAAGUGGCGUUCAGCCACGCGAGAUUGAGCAAUAACAGGUCUGUGAUGCCCUUAGAUGUCCGGGGCCGCACGCGCGCUACACUGAAGGGGUCAGCGGGUCCCGUGCCUUGGCCGGAAGGUCUGGGCAAUCCGUUGAACCCCCUUCGUGCUUGGGAUAGGGAGUUGCAAUUGUCUCCCUUAAACGAGGAAUUCCCAGUAAGCGCGAGUCAUCAGCUCGCGU